UGUUUCCUUACCUCAUGAGCAUCUCUGCCAAGCUUUUUGCAUCUAGCAAACAAACGAAAAGCAACAAAUAUCAAGCAAUCUUGAUUUUCAUAAACGCACCAUCAGCAGGAUGAAGAGAAAGACCAUGCCCACCAGGAUGGAUGAAAUGGUCACCAUCAUCUUCAUGCUCUCAUUGUUGCUCUUUUUCACUGGGUUCUUUACUGCAGUCUUCACCAGGGGUGGAAUGGUGCCUAGACAGGUUAGCUUACCUUGCACCUGCAGGUUUAGCGUUAUUUCAUCAGUGCCCCAGUUAUUGCUGGCGACACAUGUGUAGUACCCAGAAUCCUCAGCUUUCACGGUUUUGAUGACGAAGCUGCCGUUUCCGUGGAUGCUACGCCUUCCGUCGAGGAUAGCCGGGCCUGGGCUCCCGCUGACGAGACACAAGGGUGGUGGAUCUCCUACAGCUCUGCAUGGCAGGAUAAUGUCUCGCAUCCACGGCGUUGUCACUGUACCACUAAAUGUGAGGAUCCUGGCAGGAGCUGCACAGCACAGACCACACCAAUAUAAUAAACAACUGACUAUUAAAU